GUUGGAAAUGGGGUCUCUGACCUCUGCGCUGUGCCCCUCCACCUCCCCAACGCCCAGAGACCCAAAAGGCGAAGGUUGAGGGUGGGGUGGCAGCCCAGCCACUGUCCUGCCUGUAAACCAGCCUCUCUGCCCCUCAUCUAGAGAAAUUGGCCUGCAAAAAAUUUUGGAGACAUCUUGUAUUUUUUUCUAAUCCUGGUAAAAUGGAGGACAUCAGCAGAAGUUGGAGCAUAUCUAAGUUGUAAAAUGGACAUAAGGACAUCACCAAUAAGCUGGACUCCAGAAACCUCUGUCUAGGAUUUUAUUAGACUGCUUUUCUCCCCCCAAUAUACCUGUUUCGGAAGAUUGAGACAAAAAGGCACAAACUCACAUUAAAUAAACAAGGUAAUCUAAUCAGUUCUACAAAGUGUAUUUUGUAAAAGAAGUAGCACUAGGAACCAACCGAAAUAAGUCAGGGAGUCCCAGCAGGGACUAUAAGAGGACUUGGGAAGAUAUACACAUGCCCACAAUACUGACCCCGUCCCUGACCUCUCUCGACGAGAAGGCCAGAGCCCGGCAUCCCCCCUUAACAGAGGCACUGCUGCUUCAAACUGGGACUAUGACCCUGGAAAUCUAAUGGAAGCAGCUAGUCUGCAGGGGCAUGGCACACCCUCAGGUACUAUCCCCGGAGCUGAGCCUUGCAUCAGAAGCCCCUCUCGGUGCUAGUCAGUUUGGGGGGUGGGUGAGAGGGUAAGGGGGAUACUUAAAAGCCAACACUGUUGCCCAGCAGCAACACUAUCCGUGGGGAUAGAAUAGACCAGGGACACCCCUCCUUAUGUUUCUGUGGGUUGGAGCCCCAGAUCCAGCUGACCUCAGGAAAUUCUAGCUCAGCUCAUGUGGAUGCUUUCAAACUAGGGCAACAGGUGGAUGUGGGAGGAGCCAGAGAAAAGCCAGAUAAAGAGCAAGCCCCCAACUCCACGGAGUUGGAGUGGUAUGUGUGGAUCUUAAGAGAAGAGCUGAAACAAGGAGACUAACAUCUGCUGACCCUCAAACUACCUGUCUGCUGAGAACAUCAUGGUUCGUUUCUCCCAGGAUGACCCACAUCUGGACUUAGAUGAUGAAUGAAGAAGGGAAAACGUUAAGCACAAAUAUGAUUAUAGCUAAUACAGAGCUUGUAGGAAAACAUUAACAUUUUUCUCCAGUAGUAAUGCUUCACUUUCCCAGUCAAAGAGAAGCUACCAGCAGUCGGGAUCCUAAUAACCAACUGAACUGCCCCAGAUCCAUUACUGUAGACCCCACAAGGUGAGGAGACUGAAAGGAAGGUGUAACAGGACAUUUCCUGGUCCCAAAGAGGCCUCAAUGAAGGUGGGAGACAACCACACUGAGGGGUCUGAGUCCAUCCACUGUUGCCCCAACAGGGCCACAGGGAAGCAUCCAUCAGGAUAUCACAGGUGCAAUCCUGUGAAACAUUCCCUUAUUGCACUUAGAAAUGAGUAAGGCAAAACAAACUGACAAGAACAUAAGGAUAAAUGAUCCCAUCCUACUUCUUGCUCCCCCAACACAGAUUUGGUCUCUUAAUCAGCCACCCCACCCAGGCUGGCAUGGGCUUGGAUCACAACACGCUUGGCUAACAACAUACCUCACAAGGCUUGGGACAUGUCGGAUGACACCACAGCUACCUCGGAUUCUCCCACCGGGAAGGCAUGCUUGGGUUUUGCCAAGUCGUACAAAACCAUGAAGCACUCAGCAGCUUCUACCUCCCUUGGAGUCGACUUUUUCACUGGCCUACUAUGGUAGAGUUCUAUACCACGAUCACUACUUGCUUUUGAUUGUCCAGGACAGAACUCAGCAUGGGGAUGGGAUGAGCUGAGUCCUUGAUCUCCAAAUUCCUUUCCGGUAGCUGGAGACAAGAGGGAACAUGUUCUGCUGGGGAAAAGCUUUUUGCAUGCUUGUUUUGUGCAGCAAGAAAAGAUCAGGACCCUUCUGUCCUGACCAGCCUCAAAGACAGGGCAGGAAUGUGAGAAAGCACAGAGAAAAGAGGAUUAUUGCUGAGUGGCAGCACCAGCCCAAAAGGGAAGAGGAGCAUGGACAUACAGAGCUCCUCGGGGGGGUGGGCACACUAAUUAGUACAUACAGGGCAGACUCAGUUCUAAGGGCCACACUGGACAGGUCCCUCCAGGUGGAGAGUUGACCCGGGCGUAUCAUGGGCUCUGUGAGGUUCAGAAAGAGUGGGCAACAGGAGGGCCGAGAAGCCAUAGGUGUUUCUAAGACUAGUGACCAGAGAUGCGAUGCCUGGGGCAGAGGUUAUCUGAAUUUGUUGAAUUUUUAAAACAGACUGGCUGGGCCCUGGGUACUUCCUCGGUGCUUACAGCACAUGAACAAUGGGUUACUGAGAGCAGAGAUCACAGUUAGGAAGCCACACUGCUGUUCUGUGGAAAUGGAGGAAAAAACUGUAUUUCCAACUCAUCUCCUCUCCCCAGGUGAGCACUCAAAUUUGCAAAGAUCUGCCCAGGAAGCGAAAUACCUCAGUUUAUCCCAAGGUUGAAAACAAACAAACUUAAAUCAUUUAAAUCACCACAUCACAAAAGGCAGCUAUUUUGAAAGACUAAAAAUGUCACUUGGAAAUAAAGGGAGGGGCACACAGAAAUGGGCUGAGAACACAAUGGCUGGAGAGGGAGGAGCUGUAAACACAGCAACCUACAGGCCAUGUAUCUCAGAGGAGCAGGCUCCCGUACACGCGGGCUUCAUAAUACCAGACGGUCUAUUUGUUCACAAUAUUGAAGGGCAUCUAGAAUUAGCUACAGUAAGGGAUCGAAAGUUGCCUGAAGAAUGGGCACAGAAAGGCUGCGUCCGAAGAUGGCCUGUCACUCGGGAGGGUGGAGCUGCUGGGCCUUCCUGUUGACCACUGUCUUGCAAAACUAGAAAAGAAAUACAAUUAUUAAGGAAGCAACAGAGGAAAAUAGAAGCACACUGUAAAUCGUCAUCGAUGGGGGAAUUUCAAAAGGAGGAAAGAUGCCAGUUGGGGGUUGGGGUCAGGGGAGAAAACUAAGGCCCAAGCAGCUGGCAUUGCACCAAUCCACUUGAUCUUACUGUUUUAUCUCUCAGAAGUUCUCAAGCACAAGAGGCAGGGAGAGCAAGCUGAGGUCCACGCUACUGCCAAGACCCCAGGCCUCCUCAGCUCCUUAGUGGUAGAGGACAACCAGAUUUUAUUUGAUAAAAUAAUCUUCUCUCAGAGCCUGAUGGGAAGCAGGGCCAGGUUUUCAAUGCCAUGACCAAGCCAGCUCUGAGCUGCUGGAAUACCAGGAGUCUGGGGAGGUAUGUAGGGCCCUGGGGGCUAAGAGAAGGACAGGGCUUGGGCAAGAGUGACAGCAUUAAACAAGGAACAUCUCACUCUGGUCCUAUGACCUGGGCAGAAAUACUCUCCAAGCAUCUGAAAGAUGCUGCCUCUGAUGAGGACAGCUACUUAGUAUGGGAUCAGGAGGUCUAAAGAACAAGGAAACGAUGCCCCAGACACAAUGAUGGACCCUAGGAAAAGCUGUCUGGCCCGCAGAUUUUCCAAGGGUGGGGCAGGUAAUGCUGGCCUGGGAGCUAGGAACGAGCUCAGGGGCAUAGGGGGCACCCCGGAAUGCCAGCUGCAACUUGACACGGCUCUAGCUAUGACAGGGAGAGGAAUUAGUUGCAGAUAAGCUUCAAAUCUGUAUCUACCAACACAGCCCCACUCCUCACCCCCCGGUCCAUGUGUCUGGGCCGUUCAUUAUAAAAUCACACAUCCCUGAAAUGUCCUAAUAGUCACAGGAUCUUUCAGUGGAGGGCUGAGAGCUGUUCAGCAUGGCAGCCAUCGUUAUCAGUGGAGGGCAGGAUGAUGAACGAAGCGUGCUUCCUGACUCCACAGCGAGCUGCUGAGGCCCCGAGGACCCAAACUGGCUUUCACGUCUAUGACAUGCAAAGGGAGGGUAUUCAGUACAUACAGUGCAGAAGGGGGAGGGGUGGCUUUAGUCAUCUGCGGUCAUUCCUUUCACAGGGUCCUUUUGUCUCAUCUGGAACAGAAAACAACAGGAAAAACUGAAGGCUCUUGCUGCUGAUGGAACUCCAACACAAAUACAUUCUGCCUUCUCUUCAGUCCUGCCAAUGAAGAGGGUGGAGCAUUUUUUGUUCACAAAGCUAAUCAGAAGAGAAUUCUGCACACAUACGGCCAAAGCCCUACCAUGGAUAGCUCCGUGUCACUGGUCCCACUGUCCAGGAUUUCUGUUCCUCGCCCUGCAUCCCAGUGCUGGGGUAUAGCUCUUAAGCUCCUCUCUUUCUUCAUUCAUUCAUUCAUUCAUUCAACAAAUAUCUAUGAAGCAACUCCUUUGUGCUGGGAACUGCACAAAACUGCUUCAGGCCUGAGGAUUCAACAGUGAACCAGGGAGAGACCAAGUCUCUCCUCCCAGUGCUUACAUCCUGGGGCAAAGUGAGGGAGAACAAACCAAUAUGUCAGGUGGGGCCAAGGGCUGUUUGGAUGGAGCACGACCCUGGAGAAGCGGGUUGUGGAAGGUCUCUGACAAGUGACAUUAAGUAGAGACCGGCAGGAAGCGAGGUGGCAAGUCCUGUGGCUCCCUGGAGGGGGCAGGUGGAGGGAAGGGCAAUUCCCUUUCCUGGGCUCUGCUGAGAGGCUCCGCGCCAUUGGUCAGAUGGGCAGAGCGUGGCACGAGAAGGCAGGGCUUGAAAGUGCAGGGGGGGCGAGAUCUCAGCAGAAGUGUGAGGCUGCCGGAGAACAGGAUGGGGUCUUCUCUGGAAGCCCUGAGUGGCCCCUGUCAGCUGCACCUUCCAAGCAGAAGUGGACACAACUUCUCGUGGGGAGACCGCAGAGGUGAUCUCCCUCAAAUCCUUUCCAACUCGCAAGUUCCACUCUAUUUGCAGCAUGCCUGCAACACACGUGUAUUUUAACUUCCCAUCAGAUAUUUCUUCACUAUCCAUGAGUGUUCUGCUCAACUCUCAUUCUUUAUUCAUUCAACAAAUUGUGAGCGCCUCAGAGAAUGGGCCUCUGGAGUCAAACUGCCUGGACUGUAUUCUGGCGCCAUCACCACAUGUGACCCUGAACAAGUUACCUCACUGCACUCUAAGCCUCAGUGUCUGUGAUGAUAAGAUGAAGAUAAUAAAAGCGACUACGUCGUGGGGCUGUAGAAAAUGAAGUAGAGGGAUUCAUGCGGAGUACUUAGUGCGGUAGAGUGCUGGCCCAGAGUAUGCGCUCAGUCCACCCCACCUGGGAUCUCUGCAACACCCUGCGGCAAAGUGGGGGGGGGGGGGUGUGCCCGCAAGCUCCGAGGAAACUGGACUUCUACGCUUCCUCCUCAGAGUUCUGUUCCGUUCGCUAAAACUUUAACACUGCCACGUCUGCACAGAUUCUACCUCAGAAGCAGCAGUUCUCCACUAGGACGUAUUUUCAAAAUACGCUUCCCGCCACAUUUGGAACUCGCGUCCAUUUUUCACACUCCCUGCUUUCCCCCAAUUAUUACACUCAGUGAAUCCAUGUGGAACCUGGACAUGGUAAAAAAAAAAAAAAAAAUUCUCCUGGAGGUUCCGAUAUUCAUUCCCUGUUGACAACUUUUACUGGAAUGACAUCAAACGUCUCAGCUUGGCCUUUUGGGCCAGAGUUUCCUGCUUGAGCAAAAGAAUUGCCCAGACUGCUUGUUGCAGAUUCUUGGACCCAAGACCUGAUAAGUCAGGACCUACAGGAGACAGACGAUAAGUGAGUCAUCAAAUCAGUCAGUCUUACAUGCCUCACUUACCAUCCCCAGCAAAGAUCCUCUGUGCCAAACAGGAAGAUCCGUUUUCUGACACAAAGCCAGUAUGUGCUUAUUCCUACCUCCACCCGGGUGCCUAUCCCCUGUCGAUUUGCUCUAAACUCACUUUCACAAAUGAUGACUUUCGAUUUUUAUUGCUUCUGUAACUUCAGUUCUCUAUUAUCAAUUAAUGCCUGUUAAUAUAUUACUUUAUAGGAGUUUAACAAAUUCAAGAUUUUCCAACAUGAUAGAAAUCUGUUAAGGAUAAAGGCACUGUUUUAUAACACUUUUUUAAUGUUUAUUUAUUUUUGAGACCAUGCAAGAGACAGAGUGCAAGCAGCGGAGGGGCAGACAGAGGGAGACACAGAAUCGGAAGCAGGCUCCAGGCUCCGAGCUGUCAGCCCAGAGCCCAACGCGGGGCUCGAACUCACGAACCGUGAGAUCAUGACCUGAGCCGAAGUCAGAUGCUUAACCAACUGAGCCACUCAGACGCCCCACUGUUAUGUUUUUAAAAAGAGAAAAAGUUUACCUUGUAGUAUUAGGCUGGAAUUGGAAGUAUUUGUGUGAACAUACACAUAAGACAGAUAUGGAAAUAGCUACAGAUGUGAAAGUUCCUCAGCUCUGUCCUAUGAGAAGGCCUGGGGGCAGCAACAGCCCAGCAGUAACGAGCACACCCAGGACCCUUCACUGAAAGGAACCAGGGCUCCUUAGAGACAUGGUCCCAAGGCUGUGUCACGGAAAGAAAAAGACAAACCCCUGAUGCCUUGUGCUUUGAGUGGACAGAGGUAACCUGAGCAGUAAGUGGAAAGAUAGCUACAAUGCAAUGAAAGGACACCAAAUCUGUGACAUUCUGGCCUAAAAUAUAUAAACUGGAUCUAAUCCUGCAGAAUCAUUGCAUAAACCCAAACCAAAAGACAUUUUACAUGAUGAUUUGCCUAUGCCUAUAACCUUCAAAAAUGUCAAGGUCACGGAAGUCCAGGAAAACUGAGGAAUUGCAUAAGAGUGAAAGAGACUAGAAGGGUACAGCGUGUGACACUGGGCUGUAUCCGCUCGAAAGGACAGAAGUCUCUGGGAAGCCUGGGUGGCUCAGUCAGUUAAGCAUCCGACUCUUGAUUUUGGCUCAGGUCAUGAUCUCACGUGUGAGAUUGAGCACUGUGUUGGGAUUCUCUCCCUCUCUCUCUGCCCCUCCACUGCUCUCUCUCUCUCAAGAUAAAUAAAUAGGGGUGCCUGGGUGGCUCAGUCAGUUAAAUGUCCAACUUUUCAUCUCAGCUGGGAUCAUGAUCUUGCAGUUCCUGGGGCUGAGCCCUCUGUCGAUGCAGAGCUGCUUGGGAUUCUCUCUCUCCCCCCUCUCUGCCCCUCCCCGGCACUUUCUCUCUAAGAAAGAAAUAAACUUAAAAAAAAAAAAAACUUAAAA